UAUGAAACACAUUGAUGUCAAAGUGUAGUUAUAGGCAUAAACCUUUUUCUCUGUUAACCAGUAGUCCACAAAAGGACCAGAAAGCAGCAGGCUUGCAGCUUGUACCGGAGCAGUAUGUCCCAAUAAAUCAAAAGAUCCUAAAGAAUGCUUGCGU